CAGACGUCUCAGAAAGGAAGAUGAUGAUGUACCAACUUGCUGAUACUUUCAGGUGCACAUAGUGCUUUUCAUUUCACAUUAAUUUGUCAUCAGUUCUGGACAAUCAGCUGUGCAAUUCUCCCCUCUUGCACACGUGGUGUGCAGGCUACAGGCAACUGGAAGGCUCUGCCAGCACCAAGAGCUGGCUGCUGAGGCUGAGAACUGUGAGGUUCUAUUACACAAUAUUUAUCAACAAAAAUCAUUCUUCAAUA
rnacentral:lncRNA from 1 species